rnacentral:rRNA from 1 species
GACGAACGCUGGCGGCGUGCCUAAUACAUGCAAGUUGAGCGCUGAAGGUUGGUACUUGUACCAACUGGAUGAGCAGCGAACGGGUGAGUAACGCGUGGGGAAUCUGCCUUUGAGCGGGGGACAACAUUUGGAAACGAAUGCUAAUACCGCAUAAAAACUUUAAACACAAGUUUUAAGUUUGAAAGAUGCAAUUGCAUCACUCAAAGAUGAUCCCGCGUUGUAUUAGCUAGUUGGUGAGGUAAAGGCUCACCAAGGCGAUGAUACAUAGCCGACCUGAGAGGGUGAUCGGCCACAUUGGGACUGAGACACGGCCCAAACUCCUACGGGAGGCAGCAGUAGGGAAUCUUCGGCAAUGGACGAAAGUCUGACCGAGCAACGCCGCGUGAGUGAAGAAGGUUUUCGGAUCGUAAAACUCUGUUGGUAUAGAAGAACGUUGGUGAGAGUGGAAAGCUCAUCAAGUGACGGUAACUACCCAGAAAGGGACGGCUAACUACGUG